rnacentral:tRNA from 1 species
AGGGUUUCUAAGUUAAGUUUAAACUUUAGGUCUUCAAAGCUUGGAAUAAGUAUUAUUAAGUUGCUUGAACCUUA